rnacentral:rRNA from 1 species
GUAAUCUGCCCUUGGCUUUGGGAUAACACCGGAAACGUGGCUAAUACCGGAUAUGACGGGCUCCGGCAUCGGGGUUCGUGGAAAGUUUUUUCGGCCAGGGAUGUGCUCGCGGCCUAUCAGCUUGUUGGUGGGGUAAUGGCCUACCAAGGCUUCGACGGGUAGCCGGCCUGAGAGGGUGACCGGCCACACCGGGACUGAGACACGGCCCAGACUCCUACGGGAGGCAGCAGUGGGGAAUAUUGGACAAUGGGCGGAAGCCUGAUCCAGCAACGCCGCGUGAGGGAUGACGGCCUUCGGGUUGUAAACCUCUUUCAGUACCGACGAAGCGCCGAUGAUGGUGGUGACGGUAGGUACAGAAGAAGCACCGGCCAACUACGUG